AGUUCGGUCGUCUAAGGGAAGGACUCCCGCCUCUCACGCGGGUUAUGCGGGUUCGAGUCCCGUCCGAACUU
rnacentral:tRNA from 1 species